CUGCCUACGGGGGGCAGCAGUGAGGAAUAUUGGUCAAUGGCCGGAAGGCUGAACCAGCCAAGCCGCGUGAAGGACGAAGGUGCCAAGCAUUGUAAACUUCUUUUGUCAAGGGACAAAAUCAGGCUCGAGAGCCUGACCGAGGGUACUUGAAGAAAAAGCAUCGGCUAACUCCGUGCCAGCAGCCGCGGUAAUACGGAAGGUCCGGGCGUUAUCCGGAUUUAUUGGGUUUAAAGGGAGCGUAGGCCGGUCUUUAAGCGUGCCGUGAAAUUUUGUGGCUCAACCAUGAGAGGGCGGCGCGAACUGGG
rnacentral:rRNA from 1 species